CAGCAGCCGCGGGAAUACGUAGGUGGCAAGCGUUGUCCGGAAUUAUUGGGCGUAAAGCGCGCGCAGGCGGCUUCCCAAGUCCCUCUUAAAAGUGCGGGGCUUAACCCCGUGAUGGGAAGGAAACUGGGAAGCUGGAGUAUCGGAGAGGAAAGUGGAAUUCCUAGUGUAGCGGUGAAAUGCGUAGAUAUUAGGAAGAACACCAGUGGCGAAGGCGACUUUCUGGACGAAACCUGACGCUGAGGCGCGAAAGCCAGGGGAGCGAACGGGAUUAGAUACCCCGGUAGUCCCUGUCUCUUAUACA
rnacentral:rRNA from 1 species